GGCGUGGCUUUGCUUACGGCUCCUUAUCGCUGGAAACUUAGUUUAUUUAAUCGAAUUGAGUUUUAUAAACGCAAGUGUGUGGGACCCAAUGUGUACUGCUGGACGAGGGCGCCUUCUGCCCCCGUCUCUUCUGGUGUCCUGCAAGGCACUGUUCUUGGCCCCUUUCUUUUCCUUCUAAACAUUAACGACCUUGCAAUGUCAACACCUAACUCUUAUGCUAGACUCUUUGCUGAUGA